CACAGGCCAUUGUGGGUUCAUCGUCAGCGAUGUCCACAAACUCUGCUCCCCAUUGUGCCCCAGUAAUUCCAUCAAGUCACUAAGGAUGUGAACGGGUAUGGUUUGGGCCUGCUAGUCACCUCCGGGUAGUGUGUUCAACAUUUUUAAAGGAAAGGUCCAUUUGUAUGGUGCAAGUAGAAGGAAAGUGAAGGAUGGGUGGUGCUUUGGGACCUACUAGAAGAUGGAGAACCAGAGUUAUAGGAAGGCCACCUCCUUUUUCUGACCAGCUGCAGGGAUCCAGCUUAUUCCUACAUCUUCUUCAUGAGAGGCUCUGGGGUACAUCGUAGGCCUAUGAAAAGACACUCCAGCUGAGGAUUCUUCCCCACAGCGUGUGAGCAGCUAAUCCAACAGGUUGCCCCGGUUUGAAAAGGAUGCAGAUCUCACUAGCAAACAUCUUGUGCUCCGGUGAUGAAUGAAAGGUGCAACCCUGGAAUUUAUAGCCCAGCAUUAUCAGUAGAGGAAUAGACGCUCUGGGGUUGGAGGGAGAUGCCUCUGUAUGGCUCUUUUCCAGUGCACCUGCUAUGCUGUUGCUGUUCACCCUAUUAACACUGUGCCUCAUCACUACCUGUGCGAACCUCAUGCUCAAACACUGAGCCUACUCCCUGUCAAAUUUAACAACCACUUCAUACCCUUUUUACAAUCCCAUCACACCUGC